rnacentral:snoRNA from 1 species
UGGAAAUGAUGAAACAGAGAUAACUGGGUGCAUUUGAAUGGUGUGUAAUUUGAGCAUUAUUAAAUUUAUUAUCAAAUUAAAUAAACAUCUAAAAUGGGCGGGGGGGGGGGAGGUGGAGGGGUGUGUGUAUGUGUGUGUGCACGGGUGUAUACAUAAAGGCUAAGGAAAGGGAGCCCUGACUGACAAUGCAGAUAUCGGAGUGCAUCUGAGGCUGUUGUAAAAAUACGUGAGUGUUUAUUACAGCUUUGCCAAUGAUUAUAACUCAGGAACAGCUCACUUACCUGCCUGACACCCUACAGUCUCUAACAGGUUCAUAAAUGUGGACCUGUGAUCUGAUCCAG